rnacentral:rRNA from 1 species
UACGUAGGGGGCGAGCGUUGUCCGGAGUUACUGGGCGUAAAGCGCACGCAGGCGGUUUCGUACGUCUGGAGUGACAGUUCCCGGCUCAACUGGGAAAGGUCUUCGGAAACGGCGAGACUUGAGGGCUUCAGAGGGACACGGAAUUCCGGGUGGAGUGGUGAAAUGCGUAGAGAUCCGGAGGAACACCAAUGGCGAAGGCAGUGUCCUGGGAAGCAUCUGACGCUCAGGUGCGAAAGCUAGGGGAGCGAACAGG